UUCUCCCAUGCAAUAGCGAAGUAUUUAAUUAAUGGUACAUGUGUAGCAGAAAUUUCCUCUUGAUAUAUUUCAGCCACUUCUUUAAAUUGGUUCUGCAUUGAAAUAUAACAAUUAAUAGAAGGAUAAAAGAACUUUUAUAUUAAUCAAAAAGAGUUUAAAAAAAUUAUACUCCCAAAUACAAAUCAAAAUUAGAGAUAUUUCAAUCUAAAAUAUUAUUCUCCUUUUUUUUACAAAAAACAUAGAUAUACUAGUAUUUCUUCUUCUUUUGAAGUAGACUAACUCCUAUUAGAUCUAUGCC
rnacentral:lncRNA from 1 species